GCCGGUGUGGUGAAACUGGCAGACGCGCUGGACUCAAAAUCCUGUGGACUAACCCUCCGUGACGGUUCGAGUCCGUCCACCGGCACCA
rnacentral:tRNA from 1 species